rnacentral:rRNA from 1 species
GGUUAAGCGACUAAGCGUACACGGUGGAUGCCCUGGCAGUCAGAGGCGAUGAAGGACGUGCUAAUCUGCGAUAAGCGUCGGUAAGGUGAUAUGAACCGUUAUAACCGGCGAUUUCCGAAUGGGGAAACCCAGUGUGAUUCGUCACACUAUCAUUAACUGAAUCCAUAGGUUAAUGAGGCGAACCGGGGGAACUGAAACAUCUAAGUACCCCGAGGAAAAGAAAUCAACCGAGAUUCCCCCAGUAGCGGCGAGCGAACGGGGAGCAGCCCAGAGCCUGAAUCAGUGUGUGUGUUAGUGGAAGCGUCUGGAAAGGCGCGCGAUACAGGGUGACAGCCCCGUACACAAAAAUGCACAUAUUGUGAGCUCGAUGAGUAGGGCGGGACACGUGGUAUCCUGUCUGAAUAUGGGGGGACCAUCCUCCAAGGCUAAAUACUCCUGACUGACCGAUAGUGAACCAGUACCGUGAGGGAAAGGCGAAAAGAACCCCGGCGAGGGGAGUGAAAAAGAACCUGAAACCGUGUACGUACAAGCAGUGGGAGCACGCUCAGGCGUGUGA